rnacentral:rRNA from 1 species
UGCCCACUGAUAUAUUAUUAAAGGGCUGCAGUAAUUUGACUGUACAAAGGUAGCAUAAUCAUUAGUCAUUUAAUUGGUGACUUGUAUGAAAGAUUGGAUGAAAUAUAAACUGUCUCUUAAUUAUAGUUAGAAUUUAAUUUUUUAAUUAAAAAGUUAAAAUAAUUUAAAAAGACGAGAAGACCCUAUAGAGUUUUAUAGAUAAAUUAAUUGAAAUUAUUAUUAAAAUAAAUAAAUUGAAAUUAAUUUAUAUAUUUUGUUGGGGUGAUAAAAAAAUAUAUAAAACUUUUUUUAAUAAAAAUACAUAUAUAAGUGAAUAUUUGAUCCAAUAUUAUUGAUUAAAAGAAAAAAUUACCUUAGGGAUAACAGCGUAAUUUUUUUUUUUAGUUCAUAUAAAAAAAAGAGUUUGCGACCUCGAUGUUGGAUUAAGAUAAAAUUUAAAUGUAGAAGUUUAAAGUUUUUGA